rnacentral:rRNA from 1 species
GAGUUUGAUCGUGGCUCAGAUUGAACGCUGGCGGCAUGCCUUACACAUGCAAGUCGAACGGCAGCAUGAUCUAGCUUGCUAGAUUGAUGGCGAGUGGCGAACGGGUGAGUAAUACAUCGGAACGUGCCCUGUAGUGGGGGAUAACUAGUCGAAAGAUUAGCUAAUACCGCAUACGACCUGAGGGUGAAAGUGGGGGACCGCAAGGCCUCAUGCUAUAGGAGCGGCCGAUGUCUGAUUAGCUAGUUGGUGGGGUAAAGGCCCACCAAGGCGACGAUCAGUAGCUGGUCUGAGAGGACGAUCAGCCACACUGGGACUGAGACACGGCCCAGACUCCUACGGGAGGCAGCAGUGGGAAUUUGGACAAUGGGCGAAAGCCUGAUCCAGCAAUGCCGCGUGUGUGAAGAAGGCCUGGUGU